rnacentral:rRNA from 1 species
AAAGGCUGGCUAAUACCGCAUAAGACCGAGAGGUGAAAGCGGGGGACCGAAAGGCGCGCGAGAAGAUGAGCCGAUGUCCGAUUAGCUAGUUGGCGGGGUAAGCCACCAAGGCGACGAUCGGUAGCUGGUCUGAGAGGAUGAUCAGCCACGGGACUGAGACACGGCCCAGACUCCUACGGGAGGCAGCAGUGGGGAAUGGACAAUGGGCGCAAGCCUGAUCCAGCAAUGCCGCGUGUGAAGAAGGCCUUCGGGUUGUAAAGCACUUUUAUCGGGAGCGAAAAGCCGGCUAAUACCCGGUCGUGCUGACGGUACCCGAGGAAUAAGCACCUAACUUCGUGCCAGCAGCCCGCGGUAAUUACCAAAGGGUGCAAGCGGAUGGAAAUUACCUGGGGCCGUAAAAGCGGUGGCGUAA